UUCCUUUAUUAACUUUAUCAUGUUUUAUCUGCCAUUGAUAUAGGUUUGUGUUCUGUGCUCUAUUUAAAAUGCAUGCAAAAUAAUACUAAUUAUGAAAAGUACUUUUUCCUGAUCCAGUUGAUGUUUACAACUGGAUUUAAAACUAAUUUACCAACAGAUUCUACCCUUAUGUUAAUCUAGCUAUUUGAUUUCAAUCACAAAACAUUUGCAUAACAGAACCAAUAGUAAUGUUGGCUAACUGUGGUUUAUCCGAUGGCCCAAUCACUGCUCCGAUAGCAGAACGUAUAUCUCUCUAUUCCAGGUUCCUAAUUCACACUUCAUGUUUGGCAUUUGGAAGAGCACAACUUUAGAAGACUUCAACGAGAUUGUUUCCUACAUUGGAGAGUUAUCUUUCUAUUAUAGUUUAAAGAUUUAUCUACCUACAAGAUCCCAAGAUCCUAAGCGCACUGAGCCAUUUCUCAUCUCACUUUUUUUCUUUCCGAAGUAAAAGGUAAGUUGUACAUUCUAACUUCAUUUUAUGAUGAUUUGUAAAUGCUAACAUUAUACAAUGUUUUUGCAUCCUCUUACAAUGUAAAUGUGCAUGCAGAUUGGUAUUAUUGAUAUUCAGUUUCUUUUUAAAAUGAUUUUAUAAAAAUACUUGAUAUAAAAAGUAUAGUAAAAAUGUAGUAAAUUAUCAGCCACAUUGUCAUCUUUUCAAUAAGUUAUUGUCUACACAAUUCUAAGGAGUUUUUUUUUAGAGUAUUUUCUAUUUUUUUUUUUUUUUUUACUUAGCAUAUGCACUAUAUCCUGCAUAAAAUGUUCUUAUAUUUCACAGGAAAAUGAGACCCAAAAGAGUUUCUCCUGAAAAGGAAGCCUUGUACUUCAUUGCUUCGGGGAAAGAUAAAGACACAUUCGAGAAAAAAUUAAUGUGUGAAGAGAAAGGUAAGUUACGGCAUUCAAUUCUGCCAUCAGUAUGACUUUGCAAAACUUAAUUAAAAGCUAAGUUUGGUCUCUAAAUAAUGUCGAAUGGUUGGGUUUAAAAUGUGUAGCUAAAAACAACAGGCUGUUAAAAAAAACACAAGAGAAACAAAAAAACAUGAUUGAAUCAGUUAAAGGUGGAUUUAUAUCUGUUUUCCUGCCUGUAUUUAUGCUAGCUGCUGAUGUCCAAAUUAAACUCCAUUGUGUAGAUGUGCGAGUGAUCUUGAUAUUAUUUGUAUGUAACUGCCAGUUAGACUCCGGGGGCCUGUUUAACAAUGGAAAUUAUCAAUAUUCAGUGUCAUGAUACAUAUGAGUUUUGUAGUUUUGCACUUUUAGAUGUAGAUAUCGUAUUUGUUUUCCAAGCAGGGCUACCAUUUAAAACAGUUUAGACAACCUUAACAACUUUAUGAAUCUUUUCUCAUACUUAAUUUACACUUAUUUAUACCCAAUUUAUUAGGUUUUGGAGUAAUCGCCACAAAACAUAUUGAGCCAGGAGAAUUCCUACUGGAGUAUGUUGGAAGACACAUGGCUGGAUCUGAAGGAGAGACCCUGCUUAAAGACUACUCAGCUGAAGAUGCAGUUUUUUUUAUAUUUCUACUCCUUUCAGGGACAAUCUUACUGUGUUGAUGGCAGUAAAGCUACAGAAAAUCUCGGACGAUACAUAAAUGAUGACCACAUCAAGCCAAACAGCAAAAUUAAAAUAAUAAUGGAUGAAAAGAAAAUGCCACAUUUGUGUGUAUUUGCGUUAACAAAAAUCAAGCCAAUCAUACCAAAGAAAAAAUCAUACCAAAGCCUAUGGACUAGUAUGCAGGAGUGAUCCAGCUCUCAGAUUUCAUAAAAAAUAUCUUAAUUUGUGUUCGGAAGA